CUGUCCCGCUCACAAAAGCGUACUGUUGUUCCACUUCUGUUUUUCCUUUUGGGAUGAGGGGCCUCAAGAGCUAAACCACCAUCUCCUCUCUGCCCGCAGGCUGUGGAAAGGCCGGUGCUGUACGUCGCUGUGAGCGUCCUUGGAGUGGGGACAGGCAGUGGACACCUUUCUUCCCCUCGUUCUCCUUCGCUCAGCAGCACCCAAUGUUUCAGCAGGUGGGAGAAGCCACCACUCAGAAAGCAACCCUGCACCCUUGAUAAACCUGUUCUCUCAGCAACUGGGGUUAUUGCCAGCCCAUAGCAACAGACUUGGAAAAUUGGAUAAAGUUGAAACCUGGGGGUCCCCAGAAGAGUUCAUUUCCUUGUUGGUCCUUAUCAAAGAGAAGUCUCAGUCUUGAAAUGGGAUCUGAGGAUAUCAAAGGCUGCUCUUCACUUUGAGGGAGGAAGGAGAAG
rnacentral:lncRNA from 1 species